AGAAGAGCAAGCUGUUAUGAAGCAGCAACUACUAGCCCAGGCAGCAUUAAUUGACAUGUUGUUGAAAGGGCAAGUCCUUGGGAGGACUUUGGGUGAGAUUAGCCCUAGUCAGAAAGAUAGCUGCAUAGUCCCCUCAGAAAAACUACCUGAGGGCGAGAACGAUUGCAAUUGUUUGGCAGACACUCCUGAACGUAGAGUGGUUGCAACAGGGCGUGUGUAUAACAUUCUAGGGGACACAAUCCAUAAUCAUCCCCUCCCGCCCGACUAUGUUAGAGUUUCUCUACUUGUUGCCAUCAACCCCAACUAUCCAUUGCCUAUUCCUACUGAUGAGGCACAGACGGUGGGGGAAGCAGUAGGGAGCUUCGUUGCAUGACCUAGCCACCUUGUAAUAGUGGUAACACCAAAGCCGGCAAAGGACUUAUUGCCUCCAAAGAAAAAGGUACGGUUUAAAUAGUUAUUUAUAAUUUUAUAAUAUAAUUAUAAAUAUCUAACUUUUUUGUUGUGCAGCUGAAAGGGAAGAGCAAGCUAAAAGGUAAGUUGGGCCAUACCAAAGAGUUAGCCACAAUUUCGCAAUAUCUAGCAGCACUGGUGCCAGCUGUCGAAUACAAAUACCGUGCCUCUCUUGAGACAUAUGCGAUGGCUACAAGGAUGGCUCGUCGAGUUGCGAUUGGGGAUAUCAUUAGUUUUGAUGAUGGGCUGUAUGGAAGAUCAGGCUUGUUUGAAGUUGUUCGGGAUGAAAUUUUGAAUGAAAUUCUUAAGCACGAAAUGGCCAGUACUAGUCUGAUGAGCUUCUACAUGAGCCACCUUUAUACCUCAUUUGUGGUUCCUGGCGACCUUGAGUCGAGAUUCAAGCUGAUUAAUCCCCACGAUGUCUCUGCCUAUAAUGGAAUUACAAAGGAAGCUCUUGAAGAUCAAGCAAGGCAGCUUUCGAAUCAAUUUAAGGAUAGGGGAGCAAGCAAUGAUACUUUAUUUCUUGCUCCUUACU